UGCAAGUCGAACGAGAAUUCCGAUUCGUCGGGAGAGUAAAGUGGCGAACGGGUGAGUAACACAAGGGUAAUCUGCCCUUAAAUUAGGGAUAACCUUGCGAAAGCGAAGCUAAUACCUGAUAAGACUACGACUUCUUAGGUUGUUGUAGGAAAAGAUGGCCUCUGUUUCAAGCUAUCGUUUAAGGAUGAGCCCUUGCACUAUUAGCUUGUUGGUGGGGUAAUGGCCUACCAAGGCUACGAUGGUUAGCUGGUCUGAGAGGAUGACCAGCCACACUGGAACUGAGACACGGUCCAGACUCCUACGGGAGGCAGCAGUGAGGAAUAUUGCGCAAUGGGGGAAACCCUGACGCAGUGACGCCGCGUGAGUGAUGAAGGCUUUCGAGUCGUAAAGCUCUGUUAGGUGGAAAGAAACAUUCCAACGCUAAUAUCGUUGGAACUUGACGGUACCACCAGAGGAAGCACCGGCUAACUCCGUG
rnacentral:rRNA from 1 species